rnacentral:rRNA from 1 species
GAUGAACGCUGGCGGCGUGCCUAAUACAUGCAAGUCGAGCGAACAGAUAAGGAGCUUGCUCCUUUGACGUUAGCGGCGGACGGGUGAGUAACACGUGGGUAACCUACCUAUAAGACUGGAAUAACUCCGGGAAACCGGGGCUAAUGCAGGAUAACAUGUUGAACCGCAUGGUUCUACAGUGAAAGGCGGCUUUGCUGUCACUUAUAGAUGGACCCGCGCCGUAUUAGCUAGUUGGUGAGGUAACGGCUCACCAAGGCAACGAUACGUAGCCGACCUGAGAGGGUGAUCGGCCACACUGGAACUGAGACACGGUCCAGACUCCUACGGGAGGCGGCAGUAGGGAAUCUUCCGCAAUGGGCGAAAGCCUGACGGAGCAACGCCGCGUGAGUGAUGAAGGUCUUCGGAUCGUAAAACUCUGUUAUUAGGGAAGAACAAAUGCGUAAGUAACUGUGCGCGUCUUGACGGUACCUAAUCAGAAAGCCACGGCUAACUACGUG